rnacentral:lncRNA from 1 species
GUAAAACGAAAAAAAAAAAAAUCUCCAAACAAAGUUGUUUAACAAAGCAGUGUUGAAAAUCAUGUGCAGUUACUAUUUUGUUGAGAUUUGUAGAUGAACACUGUUAUAACGCUAUUUGUCGCUGCAUCAAUCGCCCAAAACCAAGAUUAAAGAUAUUGAUGCUUAAGUAACAGACAACAUGGAAGAGGUCAAGUUGAGUCAAACAUGAUCACAAUCACAUGGAAAUUACUUGAUAUGAAAUCGAUACAUUUGAUUGUCCAUUUUUGCAUCAUUAGUAGAGACGCGGCCUACAAGCCAUCUCUCUCCAUAUAUUAUUUGCUAAAAUACGUGGGGCUCAAACUUAAGCAUCUGUCAUAAAACUACCCUUAGGAGUUGGGUAUGCGAUGGGUGCUAGUUCCUCUGACUCAACAAUUGGGUCAGUGCAGCAACUUGCUGGCGGAGCUCCUCAAAAGCUCCAGUGGUGAGAACAGCUGGUUGAGAUGCUGGCAUCUCUGAUGAUUCUUCUUGAGGGACUAGACGAUCUUUAGGAGAGGAGGAUGGUAUGGAAUGAAAGAACUUGUUGGGAGAAGACCUGAGCGUAGGGAUGUAAACGAGUCGGGCCGAGCCGGCUCGCGAGCCUAAAAUUUCGGCUCGGGCUCGGCCCAGUUAAAAUGGCUGAGCUUUUUUGCAGGCUCGGCCUGAGCUUUUGCUCGGGCUUUUUUCAGGUCGAGCCAAGCAGGCUCGUUUUCU